rnacentral:rRNA from 1 species
UACGGAGGGUGCAAGCAUUGAUCGGAAUUACUGGGCGUAAAGGGCGCGUAGGCGGCAAUAUAAGUCGGAUGUGAAAUUCCGGGGCUCAACCCCGGAGCUGCAUUUGAAACUGUAUAGCUAGAGUAUAGUUAGGGUAAACGGAAUUCCACGUGUAGCGGUGAAAUGCGUAGAUAUGUGGAAGAACACCAGUGGUGAAGACGGUUUACUGGGCUAUAACUGACGCUGAGGCGCGAAAGCAUGGGGAGCAAACAGG